AAAACGUGUGUCACACGGCGAAAGCGGGAGAGUUGGCAGCUCUGUAUCCUGUUACCAUUAUCCCGGUCGUGACUUGUUUCAUGCAUCAGAUCAGUGCAGAAGACGUAGGAGAUGAUAAAACAGCAGCUACUUUAGUAAACUAUUGAGAUGUAAGCACACCUGCCGGCCCAGCUCUCUAGUGUUGAUCACAGUAGUGCGGGGGUAAGUCGCUCUGGAUAAAAGCGUCUGCUAAAUGACCAAACUGUCAUUACAAACAUUGUAACAUCUUCAGUGACAUAAACGGGCAAACUGACUCUACAUCCUGUUUAUCUCGAGAUUUCUAAAGGUGAAAUUCAAAAGAAGGUAGUCAGCUUGUUUUCCCUAUUUGUAAAAUUAUGUUAUGCAACGUUUAGAAACAGAUGUUGUCUUGCAUGCAACUACUCCACUAUGCGAUGAUGUCAUCGAUAAACGGACGCGCAUGCAUGCCACAUGGAAUGUUCUCUAUGCACCACGCUUGUUUAUGUUGCAAACAUAAAAAACGCGUAAAGCACCGGGCAUUCAACGAUGACAGCUUGUCAAAUCGGCCAUUUAUACGUGUUAUGCAUUAGGUUAUUAAAUGUGGACUGUCGAAGCUUAUUUCUAAUAUCCACACCUUUGUUUUGACCUCCAUAACAUUCCGAGUCGCCUGAAGCAUUGUGGGUACGAUGAUUUGUAAACUAGACGCUGUUCGGCUGCAUAGAAAACCCGGCAGGAUCAACUAUUUGAAUUUGAAUCAUGUGGCCAGGCAAGGGAGUAGCGUCCAGCUGUAUCCCAGGAGCCAGGCCUCUCGCUAAAAGAGUCCCUGGUUAAACUGGCCCCUCAGCAAAACAUUGCCACACCUACUGACACGUAAUUUCCUUUUAUUUUGGCGUCUGUUACGGCUCAGAAGGAAGUGAUUACCAGCACAAGAGAUGUGCAAAAUCAAUGAUGAGACCUUCAUGCUGCCCAUCUCUGCAUGAUUGAAGAAGGCAUUGGAGCUCCGCCGGGUCUUUUUAAAUAUGUCGUGUGGGGAAACAGCUUUUUUCACCCUAUUUGUCCAACUUAUCACCUCUAAAAUGUAAAUAAAACACUAUAAAGAGUUUAUAUAAUGUCUCAUUACAUACCUA